AGAAGAAAACUGGAAUUAUUUUUCAAAAAUUGUAAAAUGCAUUAAAAGAUUAAAAGGCUAACAAUUUCACAAGUUGUAUCAUAUAGAAAACGAGGAAUUACAAAACGACGUUUAAAGAAUAUUAAAAAUCAAGGAAAAAUGAAAUUUAACGUCCUUGAAGCUUGGAAAUCACACGUUAAAAUCUGCGUAACUUCACGAAUGGAACGCUACCAGUAGUGCUUUCACUUCUCUACCUCUCUCUGCUCAACUUUCGCGUAACGAUCCUUCCUUUUUUCUUUCUUUUCCCUCAUUUACUUGAUUACGUGAACACGGUGAAAUUUCGUCAAACAUACAUGUAAGUAUACCAACCACUGAAAGAGCUUUUAUGUUCCAGAGAGUUACAACGUUCCUUUUGUUUUCUCUCUUGUCCACGUGAAAAACAAACGAGACGAUUUCAAUGCAAAACGCGACACGAGGGUACAGAGUACGGAUUUUGUUAAUUGUGUAAAAAUGUAUUACGUAUCGGUUUACCGUGUAAACUCGCGGGAACAUCUUGCAAAAUUUUCCUCCUUUCGAAGUUGGAGAGAAAAAAAAUAUUCUCGUAUUUCCACUCGUGUAUACGUUGUAUCGACAGGGUUGAAAACAGGAUUAAAACUCUUUUACUGAAAAAAAAAAAAAAAAAAAAAACAUACGUUACAAUGCGUAUAAAUAGAGAUAAUUUUAUGUAUGAUUUUUAUUAUAGAGGACUUAUAAACGUAUGUUUAGUAAUUAAUUAUACGUUCUCAAAAUAGAAAUGUUCUCAAACGUUACAAACGUUAUAUAAAAUAAGAGGUCGAUGUGAAAUAAAAACAUACAAAAUGUUCAAGAAAAAUCUGCAAAGUAUAUAUUAUAUACGUUUCUAUUCGAAUUAAUAUUAAUAUAAUCUACACACAUAUAUAUAUAUAUACGCUAAUUAUCAUCAGGAUACGCGUAUCCGCAAUAUGAAAAAUAAUAGAAGAACUGGAGAAUUUUUAUUCACUGUAAACGCCAUCGUGUGGCAACAGAUGUUUGCCAGGGCUAUUUAAAUAAUAAGUCUUGUACGAUUAUACGAUAAAACGUAACAAAUAUUAUUCUAUUUUUAACGUAUUUGAUGGAUCGAAUUAUCGAAAGAAGAGAGCAUCGAAAAAGGCAGGAUUUAUAAAGCGAGACAUUUCAAUUAAAAGUAACAAGUAUCUCCAUACUUUUUAAAUAACAAAAUGUACGUAGAAACGUUUUUGUUCUCGAAUUGUUUCCACACGUGUGUCAAUAAUAAAAUCGUGUCGCGCGUGCUCGUGUCGAGGGCACAAUAAAUCGAUUAAAUUUUCGCCUCAAAGUUAAAAGGGUUUCCACGUGAAAUUAACACGCGGGGGUCCUUCGCGAGCGUCCCCGGCCCUGACUGCCAGCCGGGAAUCCAUGUCAAGGUAGUAGAAGCAACCACGAGCAAACUCGAGUACCGUCCACGCGCCUGCCUCCCUCAAUCUGGAUUACUGUUCAUGGAUUCGAACACGUCUUCGACCACUUGCUAAACACGCUUUUCACACUUUUCGUCAAACGUCACCAAGGAUAUAUACAACGUGAUAAUUAAAGAUUCUAAACGUAUCCAGAUAAAUGCAAUUUAACGUUGAAUUUACGUGUGCAUUUAUCAAUUUUAACGGGGUAACAAAAAAUGUAAAGAAUAGGAUGACGAUUUUUAAAAUUUAAAACAAUUUUCUUUUUUUAAAAAUUGAAUAAGAAAAACUCUAAAUGAUGAUGAACACGAAGUGUAUCCCUUUCUUAUAUUAUAACAUAAUAUCCAUUAUCAUAGAUGAAUGAUUUUAAGAAAAUUCUGUUUUCGAAAGGACAGGAAAGUCCACUUUGAAACCGUGAUGUAACAUAUUGCCAUGAUUAAGGAAAAAGCUUUACCCGAUUAAGAUCUAAAGCGAUUUGAAAAAAAAAAAAAAAAAAAUUUCAGAGGGGAACGAUGGAGGAAAGAUUUCUCGGCCUCUUUCUAUAUUUAGACCCUCGUCUCGAUUUUAAUUUCGGAAUAUCGUUUCGAUGUCAAGAAUUCGCGGCCGUCUCCCAAACCUCUAAAUCGAGAUAUUUAACACAAUCACUCUUUUACUCGAUAUUGUGCACCAUAUCGUAUUUAUCGUUCGAAGAACAAAAAAAAGAAAAAAUUGAUUGAAAAAUUAAUCUUUUCUCUCCUUCUACGAAAGAAACUUCCUCUUUGGAAAGGAUUUUUUGACGGAACGAAAAAAAGAAAAAGAGAGAGAUGCAGAAAUGCGAAGCACAGGUGGAGGGAGAAAGACGAAGAGAGAACGAGAGAAAGAGAGACCUUUAUAGAAAAGUAAAAGGUGAAACACACAGAAGUGCAAAAAAAAAAAAAAAAAACUACUUUUCACGUGCAAACGAGUAUUUCGAGUUUUAUCGUUAACUUUCAACGCGACACGGGGCUCUUGGUAUUAAAUAAAUAAAUAAAAAACGUAUUAUAUCGACAUUUUUCUUUUUUUUUUUUUAAAUUAUAUUUCGUUAAUAUUACUCUCACGGGUUGAGAACGACUUUUUAUUUAUUAGUAUCACUAUGCCCCGCAUUGCCCCGAACACGAUUAAUUCUUAACGUAUUAUCUAGCACGCUCGUAUUGUCGUAUCUACAAUGCAAAUGCAAUGCAAUUUUUUAAAACUAGAAAUAUAGUAUCGAGGAAUAAUUAGAAAUAUAAAUAACUUUAACUCGAGGAAAUAAUAAUGGUAAUUUGUAAAUUUUAAAGAGAAUAGUAAACGAGUAAAAAUAGAAGUAGCGAUAAGUAAAUGAAUAUUGAUCCGUGUAACGUAAGAAAAAUAAAUGUCCCGUUAUCACGAAAUUCGCGAGCGAGGAGGAUACGAAACUACUACUAUUAUUACUAUUACUACUACUAUUAUCACUAUUGAAAGAUACGCGAAAGUUACGAGAGCACGUGGAAACCAACACCACGAUGCAUCUUCAAAGGGUGCAUGCGAAGUUGAAGGUGAAGGGUAGUCGGCCAACGCAGUCCCAACGCCAUUAAAACACUUUCACAAAGGUUCCUUGACCACGCGUGUCUCUCCAACGAAUCGAAGAGUCUGCAGGAAAUCUAUAUCACUGUCAUCGGAUAUCUUGGUGAAUGUACAAGAUUCGUGGCAAUCUAAAUAAUUUUUCUUUUUUCUUCUUUUUCCUUCUUCUCGCAACAUCAGUUGUUAAAUAACAGAUAACGUGUGUUGCUUAUCAUUUAGCAACUAUUUCACGCGAAAUGGUGCUUAUCACCGUGUUGUGUAUUUACAAAUAGCCGAAUCAAAUUUUAGAUACAGGAUAGGAACGAUAACAAGUUUGUCACACGUUUCAGUUCUCAUGGUGAAACUUGUGAAGCAUCAUUGAAAAUAAAUUGAAUCGCGCCAAAGGUUUUUAUCACUCGAACGGGAUCGGGGAUGGCGUCGAUGCCUACACGGACGCGCAACUGGUACACGAUACGACAAAGAAGCUUUUCGACAUGUAAUUCCCCGUAAGCGAGCACGCUCUCAACGGGGAAAACACACCGAAGGAUAAAUAACUCGUUCCAAGGCAAGUUCGCCGCCGAGUCUAAAUAUAAAUUCGCAACAAAUCAAUAUCAACGCACACGGACGCCACACUGUGGAUUCGAUGGGCAUUUAGCGGAUAUGCAGACAUAUUCUCAAAUGCACACGUUCAGGGAACGUGAUCGCGGAGAAUCUUUUUCCGCAACCGUUGCACGGACUCUUCGACGGGAGUCUUUUUUGUGGAAUCGCUUAAGGUAUAAUUACGAGGAGGUUAAAACGAAUGGGAAUGGAUGUAAUACGAUAUCUGACUUACUGACGCCAAGGGUUUGGA